rnacentral:ncRNA from 2 species
AGGGGGAAGCCGGUGCGAAUCCGGCGCUGAUCCCGCAGCCGUGAGCCGCCCCGUGCAUCUGGGAGCGGUGAGCCGGAAUGCCC